rnacentral:rRNA from 1 species
AUUGAACGCUGGCGGCAGGCCUAACACAUGCAAGUCGAGCGGAUGAAGGGAGCUUGCUCCUGGAUUCAGCGGCGGACGGGUGAGUAAUGCCUAGGAAUCUGCCUGGUAGUGGGGGAUAACGUCCGGAAACGGGCGUUAAUACCGCAUACGUCCUGAGGGAGAAAGUGGGGGAUCUUCGGACCUCACGCUAUCAGAUGAGCCUAGGUCGGAUUAGCUAGUUGGUGGGGUAAAGGCCUACCAAGGUGACGAUCCGUACCUGGUCUGAGAGGAUGAUCAGUCACACUGGAACUGAGACACGGUCCAGACUCCUACGGGAGGCAGCAGUGGGGAAUAUUGGACAAUGGGCGAAAGCCUGAUCCAGCCAUGCCGCGUGUGUGAAGAAGGUCUUCGGAGUGUAAAGCACUUUAAGUUGGGAGGAGGGGCAGUAAGUUAAUACCUUGCUGUUUUGACGUUACCAACAGAAUAAGCACCGGCUAACUUCGUG